UAUGACGAUAUCACGUCGAAACAUUGGUUCCCGUACUAUCACCGAAGUUAAGCAAUGUCGAUCCUGGUCAAUACCUAGAUGGGUGACCGCUUAGGAAUAUCAAGUGG